AUAAAGAUACUCCUGCAUAGUUGAGGUUAAGUCCCAAAGUGCAGCCCGCUUGUUAAGGGGGAGGUGGAAUUCCUGUGA
rfam:Clostridium cellulolyticum H10, complete genome.